rnacentral:tRNA from 1 species
GAGGGUAUAGCUCAGUGGUAGAGUGCACACCUAGCAUGCAUGAGGUCCUGGGUUCAAUCCCCAGCAUCUCCA